GACGAACGCUGGCGGCGUGCCUAAUACAUGCAAGUUGAGCGCUGAAGGUUGGUACUUGUACCGACUGGAUGAGCAGCGAACGGGUGAGUAACGCGUGGGGAAUCUGCCUUUGAGCGGGGGACGACAUUUGGAAACGAAUGCUAAUACCGCAUAAAAACUUUAAACACAAGUUUUAAGUUUGAAAGAUGCAAUUGCAUCACUCAAAGAUGAUCCCGCGUUGUAUUAGCUAGUUGGUGAGGUAAAGGCUCACCAAGGCGAUGAUACAUAGCCGACCUGAGAGGGUGAUCGGCCACAUUGGGACUGGGACACGGCCCAAACUCCUACGGGAGGCAGCAGUAGGGAAUCUUCGGCAAUGGACGAAAGGCUGACCGAGCAACGCCGCGUGAGUGAAGAAGGUUUUCGGAUCGUAAAACUCUGUUGGUAGAGAAGAACGUUGGUGAGAGUGGAAAGCUCAUCAAGUGACGGUAACUACCCAGAAAGGGACGGCUAACUACGUG
rnacentral:rRNA from 1 species